CCUACGGGAGGCAGCAGUGGGGAAUUUUGGACAAUGGGGGCAACCCUGAUCCAGCAAUGCCGCGUGAGUGAAGGAGGCCCUCGGGUUGUAAAGCUCUUUUGUCAGGGAAGAAACGGUGGUUCCUAAUACGAGCUGCUAAUGACGGUACCUGAAGAAUAAGCACCGGCUAACUACGUGCCAGCAGCCGCGGUAAUACGUAGGGUGCAAGCGUUAAUCGGAAUUACUGGGCGUAAAGCGUGCGCAGGCGGUUAUAUAAGACAGAGGUGAAAUCCCCGGGCUCAACCUGGGAACUGCCUUUGUGACUGUAUGGCUAGAGUGUGUCAGAGGGGGGUAGAAUUCCACGUGUAGCAGUGAAAUGCGUAGAUAUGUGGAGGAAUACCGAUGGCGAAGGCAGCCCCCUGGGAUAACACUGACGCUCAUGCACGAAAGCGUGGGGAGCAAACAGGAUUAGAUACCCUGGUAGUCCACGCCCUAAACGAUGUCUACUAGUUGUCGGGACUUAAUUGUCUUGGUAACGCAGCUAACGCGUGAAGUAGACCGCCUGGGGAGUACGGUCGCAAGAUUAAAACUCAAAGGAAAUUGACGGCNGAGAGNGCGACGACGACACGAGGAGGAGG
rnacentral:rRNA from 1 species